AAUCAACGCUGGCGGCGUGCCUCAGACAUGCAAGUCGAACGAUUAAAGCUCUCUUCGGAGAGUGCAUAGAGUGGCACACGGGUGAGUAACACGUAAGUAAUCUACCUUCGAGUGGGGAAUAACGUCCGGAAACGGACGCUAAUACCGCAUAAUGCAGCGGCAUCAUAAGAUGACAGUGUUAAAGGAGCAAUUCGCUUGAAGAGGAGCUUGCGGCAGAUUAGCUAGUUGGUAAGGUAAUGGCUUACCAAGGCUACGAUCUGUAACCGGUCUAACGAGGACGGUC
rnacentral:rRNA from 1 species